rnacentral:rRNA from 1 species
GAUGAACGCUGGCGGCGUGCCUAAUACAUGCAAGUCGAGCGAACAGAUGAGGAGCUUGCUCCUCUGACGUUAGCGGCGGACGGGAGAGUAACACGUGGAUAACCUACCUAUAAGACUGGGAUAACUUCGGAAAACCGGAGCUAAUCCCGGAUAAUAUAUUGAACCGCAGGGUUCAAUAGUGAAAGACGGUUUUGCUGUAACGUAUCGAUGGAUCCGCGCCGCAUUGGCUGGUUGGUAAGGUAACGGCUUACCAAGGCGACUAGGCGUAGCCGAACUGAGAGGGUGAUCGGCCACCCGGGAACUUAGACGCGGACCAGACGCCUACGGGAGGCAGCAGUAGGGAACCUUCCGCAAUGGGCGAGAGCCUGACGGAGCAGCGCCGCGUGAGAUAUGAAGGUCUUCGGUGCGUAAAACUCUGUUACUAGGGAAGAACAAAUGUGGAAGUAACUAUGCACGUCUUGACGGUACCUAAUCAGAAAGCCACGGCUAACUACGUG